CACACGACUCUCGGCAACGGAUAUCUCGGCUCUCGCAUCGAUGAAGAACGUAGCAAAAUGCGAUACCUGGUGUGAAUUGCAGAAUCCCGCGAACCAUCGAGUUUUUGAACGCAAAUUGCGCCCGAGGCCUUCUGGCCGAGGGCACGCCUGCCUGGGCGUCACGC
rnacentral:rRNA from 1 species